rnacentral:rRNA from 1 species
UUUUUUGAGAGUUUGAUCCUAGCUCAGGAUGAACGCUCGCUGUGUGCCUAAUACAUGCAUGUUGAACGGGAUGUAGCAAUACAUUCAGUAGCGAAUGGGUGAGUAACACGUACCUAACCUACCUUUAAGACUGGGAUAACUAUUGGAAACAAUAGCUAAUACCGGAUAUAGUUAUUUAUCGCAUGAUGAGUAAUAGAAAGGAGCUUCACAGCUUCACUUAAAAAUGGGGGUGCGGAACAUUAGUUAGUUGGUAGGGUAAUGGCCUACCAAGACGAUGAUGUUUAGCCGGGCCGAGAGGCUGUACGGCCACACUGGGACUGAGAUACGGCCCAGACUCCUACGGGAGGCAGCAGUAAGGAAUUUUCCACAAUGAGCGAAAGCUUGAUGGAGCGACACAGCGUGCAGGAUGAAGUUCUUCGGAAUGUAAACUGCUGUUAUAAGGGAAGAAAAAAUAGAAUAGGAAAUGAUUUUAUCUUGACG